GCGCUGGUUUAGCUCAGAGGUUACUUCCUUUUCUAAAGCCGAUUAGACUUGCUUCCCGUUUGGGAUCGAACCUCGGGCGCUGUCCAGUGUUUUC
ensembl:vault_RNA Vault Vault RNA